rnacentral:rRNA from 1 species
UACGUAGGGUGCGAGCGUUAAUCGGAAUUACUGGGCGUAAAGCGUGCGCAGGCGGUUUUGUAAGCCAGAUGUGAAAUCCCCGGGCUCAACCUGGGAAUGGCAUUUGGGGACUGCAAGGCUGGAGUGCGGGCAGAGGAGACUGGAAUUCCUGGGUGUAGCAGUGAAAUGCGUAGAUAUCAGGAGGAAUACCGAUGGCGAAGGCAGGUCUCUGGGC